AUUAUUUUAAAAGACGAAAAGACCCUAUCGAACUUUAAAUUAUACUGAUGUUUAGUUUUUAGUAAAAUUAGUUUUUAGUUUUGUUUUUAAUUGGGGCGAUGAAAGAACAUAAAAAGCUUCUUUUUUUUUAUAUAAUUUUUAAAUUAAAAUGAUCCAAAGUUGUUGAAAAAAGAAAAGUUACCGUAGGGAUAACAGCGUAAUUUUUCUGGAGAGUUCAAAUUGAAGGAAGAGUUUGCGACCUCGAUGUUGGAUUAGAAUAUCUAUUUGGUGUAGCAGCUAAAAAUAGAAGGUCUGUUCGACCUUUAAAUUUCUACAUGAUCUGAGUUCAAACCGGCGUGAGCCAGGUUGGUUUCUAUCUUUAAAAUAAAUUAGAAAUAUUUUAGUACGAAAGGACCAAAUAUUCUAAAAAUUUUAUUAUUUUAAAUGA
rnacentral:rRNA from 1 species